rnacentral:rRNA from 1 species
CCUACGGUGAGCAGCCGUGAGGAAUAUUGGUCAAUGUGCGCGAGCCUGAACCAGCCAAGUAGCGUGAAGGAUGACUGCCCUACGGGUUGUAAACUUCUUUUAUAAAGGAAUAAAGUGAGGCACGUGUGCCCUUUUGUAUGUACUUUAUGAAUAAGGAUCGGCUAACUCCGUGCCAGCAGCCGCGGGAAUACGUAGGUGGCAAGCGUUGUCCGGCUUUACUGGGUGUAAAGGGCGUUCAGCCGGGAAGACAAGUCCGAUGUGAAAUCCCGCGGCUCAACCGCGGAAAUGCAUUUGAAACUGGUUUUCUUGAGUACCGGAGAGGUCAUCGGAAUUCCUGGUGUAGCGGUGAAAGGCGUAGAUAUAAGGAAGAACACCAGUGGCGAAGGCGGAUGACUGGACGGCAACUGACGGUGAGGCGCGAAAGCGUGGGGAGCAAACAGGAUUAGAUACCCCAGUAGUC